rnacentral:lncRNA from 1 species
CGCAGUGACUUGCUUCGACUUUGUCAGCUUCCAGGGUUCAUUCCACUGCCCAAAUAUGUAGUGAGUUACUACCGGCUUUGCUUCCUCCUUCAGCAAACGGCUGGACCACACAACUUCAGGAGAGAGGAUUUUAAAUGUUAGGGUCAUUUUCCCUAAAACGAUUUCAAAUGACGUCUCUUUAUCUAUAGGUAACCCAGCUUAAAACAACUGCGGUUGGCCCGGGAUCCUCACUGCCCUUUGCCAAGUACCAGAGAAAGAUAAGGCCUACUAGGAACCAGAGAAAACCAGAACCAGCCACCCCUUGUUACUUUUAGAUCAUUAAUACAUCAUUAUAUGCUCAACUCCCGACCCGUAGAAGAGAAUCGCCGCCAUUUUCUGAUAGUGCAUUGUAUGAAGAGGCAUGUUUAUGAAAUGCACCUGUGCGUCUAGAGUUCCUCCCGGCAUAUGCUUGCAUACCUCCCCACUCCACAUCUAACGCCUUACAAUUCCCCAGCUUCCCAAAGCUCUGGAAGAAGGGGGUCUUUAGAGUGAAAGUUUACUCCUUCUCUAUUCCUGGCCAGGAAUGAAACCCGCUUGCCGUUUUUUCCAGUUGGUGUGCUUUCUUUGCAACUGAUACAGACUAGGAAAAGAACGCAAUUUACCAGUAACAGUAGAGCUGGGAUUUAAAUCUAAGUGCUUUGACUUCAAAGACAAGGUUCCAAGCUGCUACACAUACCAAUUCUCGUUAAAGUGUAUUCCAUUUCUUUUGUGCUUUCAUAUUGACCAUUGUGUGUUAAUCCUUUCAAUUGGAAGAAGAGGGAGACAGUGCCAGUUAUUGCAAACUUUCACAGUCCACAGGCCCGAUAUGUAGCCUUCACCACCCACAGGUUCUGCCACUUCUGGGGCAUUAUAUUCCAUCAAGAUCCAGGCACCCGCCAUCCACAUACCAGCCCUGGAACUCGUCCCUUCUCCCAGACUUGGAAACGCCACCUCUCCCUGACCAAUGUCGAGCCACUUCCUCAUCUUGAUACAUCAGCCACUAUCCUUUCCAUCUUUCAGGCAACUCCAGCUUAAUUUCUCGAUGGCCUUGCCCUUCUAAAAGGCCGUUCUCUUUUCCCAGAUGACUUUUUCCUAUCCCCUCCACAGUAACUCCCCUCAUCCUUCCAGUCUCAAUUCAAUUGUUCCUUGGUGGGGUGGGGCGGGGGGAGCCUUCUUAAACCCUCCUCCCUCACAACUGCAUGAGGUCCCUUGUCUCUAAUAUAAGCUCCUGUAGCACCAUGGCACUUAUCCCAGUUGAGAUUUUAAAUAUAUUUCUGUGUAUUUGAUUAAAGUUUCUCUCCUCCA